UGGAGCUUAAAAACAACCCUUCCCCAGACCCCGCACAGUGCGGGAAGCCUACGGCACUGGAUGGCCCAUACCUUGAUCAUGGCGAACCGCACCCUGGAUACGAUCGGCUUUCCCGCACUCCUCAAUGAGAUGUUGAGAAGGGCACGCUACCCUUUCCAGCCCGAGUAUGCGGUCUAUGCUCGUGGCUAUGGCAUAGGCAUGGUCGACUACGUGGCUACCCUCCACAUUGAAGCUAAGAUGGUGGUUGGAUCGGAGGCCUACGACUUAUAAGCAAAAGGAACAUCGCCCGCCUUCGUUACGAACAUAGGGAGCUUCAGGAGGAUCCUUUCACCUACCUGCUGUUGAGAGGACCUGAGGAGCCAUUUGCAUAUUGUAUCUCACCACCGGUUGGGCCUUUCACCAUAGAGCGGUGCAUGGCGGAGACCAUCUCCGCUUAUGACUUGGUGCACCGGAGCUUGCUUUGGGAGUUGGAUGAGACAAGAAGACGUCUCUACAAUCUUCAAGUACAAGCCGAGACCAUAAGAGCAAAGGUGGCAAUUUCUAAGUUCUAACCUAAAUUGCAGGUGAGUCGAAAGUUAUUUUGGUCACUUCUAUCAUGGCGAGGAGAGGAGUAGGUCUUUGUGAUCACAAUGGUGCUGCUCAAGAUGUCAUUGCUUUUGCGCUUUUAUCAUUUUAUCUGCUGUGUGGUGUCUUUUGUGAGAGCAUGACAAACACUAAGUUUUAAUUUUCAUGUCUCAUUUAUAUCAUUCAUGAGCUCAAGGCUUGUAUUUGAAGGCUGAAUCCUUUAAAUUUCGGAUUUGAACCUCCUAUAUCAUGAAUUUGUAAUAUUUAUGUUGAACUCAUGUAAUGACUAAAAUUGCUUUUUAUGAUGCUUUGGUGAUAUAUUUAUUUAUAAA